rnacentral:rRNA from 1 species
CUACGGGCGGCUGCAGUGGGGAAUAUUGCACAAUGGGGGGAACCCUGAUGCAGCAACGCCGCGUGGAGGAUGACACAUUUCGGUGCGUAAACUCCUUUUAUAUAAGAAGAUAAUGACGGUAUUAUAUGAAUAAGCACCGGCUAACUCCGUGCCAGCAGCCGCGGUAAUACGGGGGGUGCAAGCGUUACUCGGAAUCACUGGGCGUAAAGAGCAUGUAGGCGGGUAGAAAAGUUGGAAGUGAAAUCCUAUGGCUUAACCAUAGAACUGCUUCCAAAACUCUUUACCUAGAAUAUGGGAGAGGUAGAUGGAAUUUCUGGUGUAGGGGUAAAAUCCGUAGAGAUCAGAAGGAAUACCGAUUGCGAAGGCGAUCUACUGGAACAUUAUUGACGCUCAGAUGCGAAAGCGUGGGGAGCAAACAGGAUUAGAUACCCGCGUAGUC